GAGAAAAGGGCCGCAAGGCCCUGAGUAAAGCGGCGCACGGGUGAGUAACACGUGGGUAAUCUGCCCUGGAGUGGGGAAUAACACCGGGAAACCGGUGCUAAUACCGCAUACGAUCACGAUGUCUGAGGAUGACGUGAUGAAAGGAGCAAUUCGCUCCAGGAGGAGCCCGCGGCUGAUUAGCUAGUUGGUGAGGUAAUGGCUCACCAAGGCUUCGAUCAGUAUCCGGUCUGAGAGGACGGUCGGACACACUGGAACUGAGACACGGUCCAGACUCCUACGGGAGGCAGCAGUGGGGAAUUUUUGGCAAUGGGGGAAACCCUGACCAAGCAACGCCGCGUGGAUGAUGAAGUCUCUUGGGACGUAAAAUCCUUUCGACGGGGAAGAAGGCCGCAAGGCUUGACGGUACCCGUAGAAGAAGCCCCGGCUAACUCCGUGCCAGCAGCCGCGGUAAUACGGGGGGGGCGAGCGUUGUUCGGAAUUACUGGGCGUAAAGGGCGCGUAAGCGGGUUGCUAAGUUGGAUGUGAAAACUUUGGGCUUAACCCAGAGCUGAUCCAAAACUAGCAGACUAGAGUUCUGGAGGGGGUAGCGGAAUUCCUGGUGUAGCGGUGAAAUGCGCAGAUAUCAGGAGGAACACCAACGGGAAGGCAGCACUCUGGGCCGGUUACUGACGCUGGAGG
rnacentral:rRNA from 1 species